rnacentral:rRNA from 1 species
UACGUAGGGUGCGAGCGUUAAUCGGAUUUAUUGGGCGUAAAGCGAGCGCAGGUGGUUUAUUAAGUCUGGUGUAAAAGGCAGUGGCUCAACCAUUGUAUGCAUUGGAAACUGGUAGACUUGAGUGCAGUAGAGGAGAGUGGAAUUCCAUGUGUAGCGGUGAAAUGCGUAGAUAUAUGGAGGAACACCGGUGGCGAAAGCGGCUCUCUGGACUGUAACUGACACUGAGGCUCGAAAGCGUGGGUAGCAAACAGG